rnacentral:rRNA from 1 species
UACAGAGGUGGCAAGCGUUGUUCGGAAUUACUGGGCGUAAAGCGCGCGUAGGCGGCUUUGUAAGUUAGAGGUGAAAGCCCGGAGCUCAACUCCGGAACUGCCUUUAAGACUGCAUCGCUAGAACGAUGGAGAGGUGAGUGGAAUUCCGAGUGUAGAGGUGAAAUUCGUAGAUAUUAGGAAGAACACCAGUGGCGAAGGCGACUCACUGGACAUCUGUUGACGCUGAGGUGCGAAAGCGUGGGGAGCAAACAGG